AGUGAACGCUGGCGGUAGGCCUAACACAUGCAAGUCGAACGGCAGCACAGUAAGAGCUUGCUCUUACGGGUGGCGAGUGGCGGACGGGUGAGGAAUACAUCGGAAUCUACUUUUUCGUGGGGGAUAACGUAGGGAAGCUUACGCUAAUACCGCAUACGACCUACGGGUGAAAGCAGGGGAUCUUCGGACCUUGCGCGAUUGAAUGAGCCGAUGUCGGAUUAGCUAGUUGGCGGGGUAAAGGCCCACCAAGGCGACGAUCCGUAGCUGGUCUGAGAGGAGGAUCAGCCACACGGGAACUGAGACACGGUCCAGACUCCUACGGGAGGCAGCAGUGGGGAAUAUUGGACAAUGGGCGCAAGCCUGAUCCAGCCAUACCGCGUGGGUGAAGAAGGCCUUCGGGUUGUAAAGCCCUUUUGUUGGGAAAGAAAAGCAGCAGGUUAAUACCCCGCUGUUCUGACGGUACCCAAAGAAUAAGCACCGGCUAACUUCGUG
rnacentral:rRNA from 1 species